rnacentral:rRNA from 1 species
AAUUUAAAGAUUAUUUUUUUUUUUAUUUUUUUUAAUAUUUUAAUAUAAAAAAAUUUAAUAUAAAAAGUUAUUGUAUUUUAGAUUUAAUUUUUUAAAUAAUAGUUUAUUAAGUAAUUUAAUUGAAAUUUUGAAAAAUUUUAUUUUAAUUAAUUAAAAGUAAAUUUUAUUUAUUGUACCUUGUGUAUCAGGGUUUAUUAAUUAAAUAAUAUAUAUUUAUAUUAUUCUCGAAAUUAAAAGAUCUAUUUAAUUAAUAAUUUUUAUUGUAGUAAAAAUAUUUUUAAUUUUUAAAUUGUAAUGAAAUGUUAUUCGUUUUUAAUGAUAUCUAGUUUUUUAAUAAAUGAAUUUAAUUCAGAUAUUAUAUUUAAAUAAUUAUUAAAUUUUAAUAAAAAUUUUAUUAAUAUUAAGAUUUUAAGGGAUAAGCUUUAAAGUUAUUUUUAAAAUAUUAAAAAUAAUUUUUUUUAAAUUUGUAAUCUUAGAAAUAGUUAUUAUUAAUAAAAAUGUUAUAAUUUAUUUAAGUAUUAAAUAUAAUUUUUAUUUGUAUUUAAAAUUUUAUUAAAAAAUAAUUUUUAAUAAUAAAAAUUUUAUUAUAAUGAUAAAAUUAGUAAAAUUAAUUUGUUUAAAAAAUUUUAUUUUAUUUAUUUGAAAGGUUAUAUAAAGGAAUUAGGCAAAAAUUUUAUUCGCCUGUUUAACAAAAACAUGUCUUUUUGAUUUAUAAUUUAAAGUCUGAUCUGCUCUAUGAAGUAAAUUUAAAUGGCUGCAGUAUUUUAACUGUACAAAGGUAGCAUAAUAAUUUGUCUUUUAAUUAAAGGCUGGUAUGAAAGAUUUGACGAGAUAAAUUCUGUCUCUAUUUAAAUAUUAAUUUAAUUUAAUUUUUAAGUUAAAAAGCUUAAAUUUUUUUAAAGGACGAGAAGACCCUAUAGAGUUUUAUAAAUAAAUUUAUUAGUAAAUUUUAUUUUUUUUAUUAAUAAAUUUAUUUAUUUUAUUGGGGCGAUAAUAAAAUUUAAUGAACUUUUUAAUAUAAAUAACAUUAAUUAAUGAAUUUUUGAUCCUAUUAUUUAGAUUAUUAGAAUAAAUUACCUUAGGGAUAACAGCGUUAUUUUUUUUAGAGUACUUAUCGAUAAAAAAGAUUGCGACCUCGAUGUUGGAUUAAAAUUAAAUUUAGGUGAAGAAGCUUAAUAUUUUAGGUCUGUUCGACCUUAAAAAUUUUACAUGAUCUGAGUUCAAACCGGUGUAAGCCAGGUUGGUUUCUAUCCUUAUAAGUAUAAAAAUUUUUAGUACGAAAGGACCAAAAUUUUAGAAUAAAUUUUUAUUAAAAUGAAUAUUAUUAAGUUAAAAUUAA